rnacentral:rRNA from 1 species
AGCUCCAAUAGCGUAUAUUAAAGUUGUUGCGGUUAAAAAGCUCGUAGUUGGAUUUCUGCCGAGGACAGUCGGUCCGCCCUUGCGGGUGAGCAUCUGAAUGGCCCUGGGCAUCUUUUCUGAAGGCUGUGUCUGCACUUCAUUGUGUGGAUCGGUUUUCGGGACUUUUACUUUGAGGAAAUUAGAGUGUUUCAGGCAUGCGUUUGUGGUGAAUACAUUAGCAUGGAAUAAUAAGAUAGGACUCGUGGCCUACUUUGUUGGUUUGUGUGCCAUAGGUAAUGAUUAAUAGGGAUAGUUGGGGGCAUUCGUAUUUAAUUGUCAGAGGUGAAAUUCUUGGAUUUAUUAAAGACGAACUACUGCGAAAGCAUUUGCCAAGGAUGUUUUCAUUGAUCAAGAACGAAAG